ACCCUCAACUCGAACGCAAGUCGCGACGGGCACCGCGGCCGAGGAGACUGCUCGACCCUGCAGCGAGCCCCUCUCGAGAGGAGCUUCGUCACGACCGCGACCCCAGGU
rnacentral:rRNA from 1 species